UGGGGAAUUGUUCGCAAUGGGCGCAAGCCUGACGACGCAACGCCGCGUGGAGGAUGAAGAUCUUCGGGUCGUAAACUCCUUUCGAUCGAGACGAAUGGCUUCCGGGUUAACAGCCCGGAAGAAUGACGGUACCGAGAGAAGAAGCCCCGGCUAACUCCGUGCCAGCAGCCGCGGUAAUACGUAGGUGGCAAGCGUUGUCCGGAUUUAUUGGGUUUAAAGGGUGCGUAGGCGGCCUAUUAAGUCAGUUCUGAAAUAUCCCGGCUUAACCGGGAGGGUGGGAUUGAUACUGAUGGGCUUGAGUGGACUCGAGGUAGGCGGAAUUGACGGUGUAGCGGUGAAAUGCUUAGAUAUCGUCAAGAACACCGAUAGUGUAGACAGCUUACUAGAUUUCAACUGACGCUGAGGCACGAAAGUGUGGGGAUCAAA
rnacentral:rRNA from 1 species